rnacentral:scRNA from 1 species
GGAUAGUACUGAAGUCGUCGUGGCCUAAAGUCGUCGUGGCCCGAAGUCGUCGUGGCCUAAAGGAUAAGACGUCCGGUGCAUUCGUAUCGAGCGAUGCACCGGUGUUCGAAUCUCGCAGGCGGGUACCAAUUUUUCUAAUGAAAUAUGUACUCAAAAAAUGUUCACGA